rnacentral:rRNA from 1 species
CCUACGGGCGGCUGCAGUGGGGAAUAUUGGACAAUGGGCGAAAGCCUGAUCCAGCAAUGCCGCGUGAGUGAUGAAGGCCUUAGGGUUGUAAAGCUCUUUUACCAGGGAUGAUAAUGACAGUACCUGGAGAAUAAGCUCCGGCUAACUCCGUGCCAGCAGCCGCGGUAAUACGGAGGGAGCUAGCGUUGUUCGGAAUUACUGGGCGUAAAGCGUACGUAGGCGGUUAUUCAAGUCAGGGGUGAAAGCCUGGAGCUCAACUCCAGAACUGCCCUUGAAACUAGAUAACUAGAAUCUUGGAGAGGUGAGUGGAAUUCCGAGUGUAGAGGUGAAAUUCGUAGAUAUUCGGAAGAACACCAGUGGCGAAGGCGACUCACUGGACAAGUAUUGACGCUGAGGUACGAAAGCGUGGGGAGCAAACAGGAUUAGAUACCCCGGUAGUC